rnacentral:tRNA from 1 species
GGAAGGGUAGCCAAGCGGUUUACGGCAACAGUCUUGAAAACUGUCGUCCAUGAAAGUGGACCGUGGGUUCGAAUCCCACCCCUUCCG